UACGGAGGGUGCAAGCGUUAAUCGGAAUUACUGGGCGUAAAGGGUGCGUAGGUGGUUCGUUAAGUCCGUUGUGAAAGCCCCGAGCUCAACUUGGGAAUUGCAGUGGAUACUGGCGAGCUGGAGUGCGGUAGAGGAAGGUGGAAUUCCCGGUGUAGCGGUGAAAUGCGUAGAGAUCGGGAGGAACACCAGUGGCGAAGGCGGCCUUCUGGACCAGCACUGACACUCAAGCACGAAAGCGUGGGGAGCAAACAGG
rnacentral:rRNA from 1 species